rnacentral:rRNA from 1 species
GACGUAGGGCGCGAGCGUUGUCCGGAUUUAUUGGGCGUAAAGAGCUCGUAGGCGGCUUGUCGCGUCGACUGUGAAAUCCCGCGGCUCAACUGCGGGUCUGCAGUCGAUACGGGCAGGCUAGAGUUCGGUAGGGGAGACUGGAAUUCCUGGAUGUAGCGGUGAAAUGCGCAGAUAUCAGGAGGAACACCGGUGGCGAAGGCGGGUCUCUGGGCCGAUAACUGACGCUGGAGGAAGCGAAAGCGUGGGGAGCGAACAGG